AACCUGUGCUCACCUGUCAUCCUUUUAGAGCCAGAAAGGGGUUUCUCUGAACAGUGGAACAUGACAAAAGACUGUGUUCAUAAAGUAAACACACACAGCCAACAGAUCAGUCUGGAGAAAGGCUGCUUCACCAUAAGCGAACAUCUCUCCACCCAUUUCUCCAAGAGUCCAUGAAGAACACACUGUAAACACUGGGAUAAAGAGUUAAUCAGGUUCUACCUCGAUGAGAGCAGCUCCUGUUCGGCUCCUCCAACAACACUGUAGCAGCGCGGAGGCGUGGACCUGCUGACCACAGCGGAGCUUCUGCUUCUCCGCUUUACUGGGCUUGGAGAAUCUCGCUGGUACAGUUAGCGCCCCCACCUGGACUGCAGACUCGCCUGUGCACAUCCUAAUCAGUAACAUCACAUGAAUUAAUCAGGUGCAUCAUGAACAGCAAAUAAACUAACGAGCAGAACGAGCUUCACUGAGAAGAUAAUUAACUCUGAUCAGCUCUCAGCUUCAUUAUUAGAGCCAGACGAAAAAAAAAGCGACUGCUCGUGUGAUGGACAGAGCAGGGGAUGGUCCCCCUGUAGUCCAGGUGGGGGCGCUAAUUCUGUAACCGUGAUUCUCGAAGCUCAAUAAAGUGAAGGAGAUCCGCUGUGGUCAGAAGCUGCUCUGGUGAUGAAGGUGAGGAGCUGUCUGCGCUUCUGGAUGCUGGUCUGCAUUCAUCGCGAGAGAAGGCAAGAUGGGUUGGAGCAUAAAUGUGGACCCUCCUGGCAUCCCAGAGAACUGGUAUCAGAACUACUGGUAAUUUUCUUCACACAUUUCAGGAGGUGCUACCAAGAGGAAUAUGUCACUAAAAUG
ensembl:lncRNA